CAAUAGCGUAUAUUAAAGUUGUUGCAGUUAAAACGCUCGUAGUUGAAUAUCUGUUAUCAUUGUUCGGUCCGCUUCGGUGUGUACCGUAACAAAUAUAACAUUCGUUUGCUUUGCUCCGCACUGCAAACCGUUUACUUUGAGGAAAUUAGAGUGUUCAAAGCAGGCUAGUGCCUUGAAUACUUCAGCAUGGAAUGAUUGAUAGGACUUCCGUUCUGUCAUUGGUUCUGGGAACGAGAAGUAAUGAUUAAGAGGGGCGGUCGGGGGCAUUCGUAUUGAACAGUCAGGGGGCAUUCGUAUUGAACAGUCAGAAGUGAAAUUCUUAGAUUUGUUCAAGACGAACUACUGCGAAAGCAUUUGCCAAGUACGUUCCCAUUAA
rnacentral:rRNA from 1 species